GAGCUUUGGAAAAAUCUGGAAGACAAAGAGGAAAAAUGGAAAAAGAAGGUGGCGGCUGAGGAGAGCAAAAGCAAAGAAAAAAAAAAGAAAGAAAAGGGAGGAGGAAAAGAGGGUUUUUGGAGCAGAGAAAGAAGGGGGAAGAGCUGCGGGCAGGAGGAAGAAAAGAAAAAAGAAAGGUUGAAGAACAAAAAAAGUAGAACCUGGGGGGAGAUCAGAAAAGAAAACAAGAAAGGG
rnacentral:lncRNA from 1 species